rnacentral:lncRNA from 10 species
GUCUCUACUCAAAAUACAAAAAUUAGCCAGGCAGGGUGGUGCACACCUGUAAUCUCAGGUGCUCAAGAGGCUGAGACAGGAGAAUUGCUUGAACCCUGGAGGUGGAGGUUGCAAUGAGCUGAGAUCACACCACUGCACUCCAGCCUGGGUGACAUAGCAAGACUCCAUCUCAAAAAAUAGUAAUAAUGAUUACCAAAUGCAAAUAUAAGUCCACUGAGCUAGUGCUGCAUGGAGAUCAUAAGAGUGAGCCUGGAGCCAGGCUUCUGGGGUUCAAAGCCCAGUUUUAUCCCCUGCUAUGUCAGUGAACUUGGACACUGUUCUUAGCUUCUCUGAGCUGCAGUUUUCUGAAAUUUAUGUAAUAGUAACAGCAGUCACCUUACAGGAGCAUAGUGAAGCUUUAAGGAGUCAAUGCCUAGGUUAGUCUCCUAGGGUUGUCGUAACAAAGUGCUGUUAACAGCAUGGCGUAAACAACAGAAUUGUGUUCUCCUGCAGUUCUGGAGGCUAGAAGUCUGAGGUCUAGGUGUUAGCAGGGUUGGCUUCUGAGGGUUGUGAAGGAAGGAUCUGUUCCAUUCCUCUCUCCUAGCUUCCGGUAGCCUUGGGUUGCAGAUGGCAUUCUUUCUGUCUCUUCACAUCAUCUUCCCUCUGUGCACAUCUGUCUCUGUGUGCAAAUCCCCCCGUUUUAAAAGGACACCAGUCAUUUUGGAUUAGAGUCCACCUUAAUGGCCUCAUCUCAACUAGAUUACUUCUGAAGACUUCAUAUCCAAAUAAGGUCACAUUCUGAGAUAUUUGGGGUUAGUCCAUUGCAUCUUUUUUUGUGGGGAUACAAUUCAACCCAUGACAAUGCCUAGGAGUGCCAAAAAUAUGGCACAUGGUGCAUUAACUAAAUAUGGAUAAUAAGUAUUAGGUCAAACCCUAUAGAAUAUAGAUAUUUGACUAUUUUACCUACAAAAUGGUAAUAUAACAUGAUUUAGCAUAUUUUUUCUUUGCUUUUUUUUCAACAAUCUCUGUCUGGGUGCUCAUCGUUCCUGACACAACUCGACAUUUUCUGGGCAGCCCCCGUGAGACAGGUUGUGGUGCAGGCAGGAGAAGGGUGGCUGUGCUGAUUCACUCUGCCUCUCCAGUUCUGACCAAUCUUCUAUUUCAACUCUGGGAUUCUUUCUUUAAUCUUCAUCUUCUGAAUGAUGUAGCUUUACUGUGAAACUGUCCAAGUGUAAUUAUCAGGCCUGUCAUUGGUAAGGAACCCUUCCCAAGGCUCUGGGAGAGGCCCCAGACAUGUAUUGACAUGUUAAUAUUUGAUUUUUAAAACUUUCACAAAGAAGACAUUUUAAACUUCAGUCAAUUAAGGCCACGAUGUCUUUGCACUCCAACUUCUCUUCCUUCUCCUCCUCUUGGGCUGUAUUGGAGCCGCCGUGGACAAUUUUGAGAUGACCCAAGGAGAAGAUGAGAUGGGCGUAUGUUUGCUGCAAGUGGAGUGGAAUACACUUCUGUGAUUUGCAGUCCCUUCCAUGUAUAAUGGAGUAUUGCUGGCUGUGCAAGUGGAGAAACAACUGGGAAUGCCAACUUGAGGAGCGUCUGGUGGACACCAUCUUGAAUCCAGCACUCUCUCCAUCCCCAGCCAGAAGUGUGUGUUGGUGGUGGGGGAGAGACAAGUUAGAAACAAGGGUGGACUACACGUUCCACCUCAUGCCUGUACCACAAGAGACAACAAAAUUACACAGUUCUGAAUAAGAUGAACUGUUAAGUUCCAUUGCAUCAGGGAUGUUCAAAGAAAUGGAAACAACUCCAGGCAUUUCAAGAAGGAAGGAAUUUAAUACAGGAGAUGACUUAGCUUUGAGAGAGGCAGCAGGCUGUAAGGUCUCCAGCAGAUGCAGCUGCCUCCAGAACUCUUGCGGCUCACCCAAAAUCGCACAUCUGCCAAAGCCCACAUGUUCCCCUCACUGCCAGAGGAGCACCACUGUGAUGACCGCUUCUCUUCUGCCUUCCAAGUCACAUGUGAGUGCUCCUUCUGAGUAGAAUCUGACCAGGAUCUUGGAAAAUGUACAUUUUGGAUGUCCUGCUCUGCAGCAUAGCUGGGGGAUGAUAGGAGGAGAAAAUGGUGUCCAGGAGUCAACAGCACUGUGACUCAGCUAGGUCUUCCCUUCCUCCCUUCAUCCCAAUUCUAAUUCCUGCAGAGACCCUGGUCCUGUUUUACAAGACUCCUUUUAGCAGAAUUUGGUCAAAGUCAUCAUGGCACUCCUAUAAGCAAUUACAAAGUGAUAUGGUUUGGCUCUGAGUCCCCAUCCAAAUCUCAUCUGGAAUUGUAAUCUCUAUAGUCCCCACAUGUCAAGGGAGGGACCUAGAGGGAGGUGAUUUUAUCAUGGGGUGGUUUCCCCCAUACUGCUCUCAUGAUAAUGAGUGAGUUCUCAUGAGAGCUGAUGGUUUUAUAGGGGGUCCUUCCCACUUUGCUUGCUCUUCUCUCUCCUUUUGAUUUGUGAAAAAGGUGGCUGCUUCCCCUUCUGCCACAAUUGUAAGUUUCCUGAGGCUUCCCCAGCCAUGCUGAACUGUGAGUCAAUUAAACCUCUUUUGUUUAUAAAUUGC